rnacentral:piRNA from 1 species
AAAAAAAAUGGAGACGGGCCUU